rnacentral:misc_RNA from 1 species
GUCAUUUGGUACAAAUUGAAAUUAUUGACUUUUGGUUUAUUAAGAAUUGAGAUAUUUUUAUCUUCAGCUUGUAUAUGAAAAUGGGGUUUUAUUAGUUUAGGUUUUGUUUUUCCCUGAAGUACCAGUAAUUAUUUCAAUAUCCUCUUUUAUGAUUUAUAGGUCUCCUGGCAGCAGCAGAUUCUUGAAAAUGUUUUAAUAUGCAAUUGGAGAUAAGUAGAUUUGAGGGUGAAUUUGUUUAUGUGUUGGUAACAAUGGAUAUGUAGAUUUGGGAUUUUAUAGAUUUGUUUGCUUAAUUGCUUGUCACUAUAGUUAUAAACAUGAUAUUUUGAUGGACGGCUUCAGUUCUUUUGUCAACAUUGCAUAUAACAUUAUUCUCGUCAAUUACACCCUACGCUACAAAUGAAUGGAGUAGCAUUUGACAUUUUACAUGUAUCGUUUAGAUCACAUCAUUUUGUCUUGAGGACUAAGUGGCUAACUACUAAAUGCAAGCCCAAAUAAUGAUUGUGAUACAGCAUUUCAUCAGCAUGGAUGCUUUAUAUUUUCUGAAACAUAUUGCUGAAUAUUAUUUUGAAGAAAAAAAAAAUUGAAGAAAGGUUUUCCUUCGCCAGUUAAUUUAAUAUAUUUGCUUAGCUAUUAUGUAUAGUGUGUGUCUCAAUGGAAAUCCCUAAAUUUCAUUUGUGGGCUGCUAUUGUGUUGC